rnacentral:rRNA from 1 species
UGGGGAAUCUUGCGCAAUGGGCGAAAGCCUGACGCAGCCAUGCCGCGUGAAUGAUGAAGGUCUUAGGAUUGUAAAGUUCUUUCGCUCGUGACGAUGAUGACGGUAACGAGAGAAGAAGCCCCGGCUAACUUCGUGCCAGCAGCCGCGGUAAUACGAAGGGGGCUAGCGUUGUUCGGAAUUACUGGGCGUAAAGCGCACGUAGGCUGAUUGUUAAGUCAGGGGUGAAAUCCCAGAGCUCAACUCUGGAACUGCCCUUGAUACUGGCAAUCUCGAGUCCGGAAGAGGUUAGUGGAAUUCCCAGUGUAGAGGUGAAAUUCGUAGAUAUUGGGAAGAACACCAGUGGCGAAGGCGGCUAACUGGUCCGGUACUGACGCUGAGGUGCGAAAGCGUGGGGAGCAAACAGGAUUAGAUACCCACGUAGUCCCUGACGCGGGCUGGCA